UACAGAGGGGGCAAGCGUUGUUCGGAAUUACUGGGCGUAAAGGGCCCGUAGGCGGCCGACUAAGUCCGACGUGAAAUCCCCAGGCUUAACCUGGGAACUGCGUCGGAUACUGGUUGGCUUGAAUUCGGGAGAGGGAUGCAGAAUUCCAGGUGUAGCGGUGAAAUGCGUAGAUAUCAGGAGGAACACCGGUGGCGAAGGCGGCCAUCUGGACGACUACUGACGCUGAGGCGCGAAAGCGUGGGGAUCAAACAGG
rnacentral:rRNA from 1 species